UAAAUAAAAAUCGGGGUUGUUGCUGCCCUUUCGUGGUGACGCUUCGGAAUUGGGUCGUCUUUACCUUUCGGUUAAGUGACCUAAAAGUUUUACGUGAUUUUUCAACGUGUUUAAAUUUUUUUACACGCGUUUGUAACAUCGAAUAUUAGAUGUGGUCAUUCUCAUGACUUCACGUCUAUAAUUUAUCAUC
rnacentral:misc_RNA from 1 species